rnacentral:rRNA from 1 species
GAUGAACGCUGGCGGCGUGCCUAAUACAUGCAAGUCGAGCGAACAGACGAGGAGCUUGCUCCUCUGACGUUAGCGGCGGACGGGUGAGUAACACGUGGAUAACCUACCUAUAAGACUGGGAUAACUUCGGGAAACCGGAGCUAAUACCGGAUAACAUGUUGAACCGCAUGGUUCAACAGUGAAAGACGGUCUUGCUGUCACUUAUCGAUGGAUCCCCGCCGCAUUAGCUAGUUGGUAAGGUAACGGCUUACCAAGGCAACGAUGCGUAGCCGACCUGAGAGGGUGAUCGGCCACACUGGAACUGAGACACGGUCCAGACUCCUACGGGAGGCAGCAGUAGGGAAUCUGCCGCAAUGGGCGAAAGCCUGACGGAGCAACGCCGCGUGAGUGAUGAAGGUCUUCGGAUCGUAAAACUCUGUUAUUAGGGAAGAACAAAUGUGUAAGUAACUAUGCACGUCUUGACGGUACCUAAUCAGAAAGCCACGGCUAACUACGUG